AUUUGUUUGCUUGUUUUCCUUAUCAGCGUUGUUGUUAGGCGUGUCAGGAGGCCCGAAGCCUCCCCCGAAGAAGAACAAGACGGGCGAGAUGCCAGACUGGGCCAAGAAGUUUGUCCAGGAGAAGAACCUGAAGGUGGAGACGGAUCUCAAGACGGCUGACAUCGGGGACGGAGGGGGAUCGUCGGACGAGGAGAAGUCCAGUGUGCAGCUGGAGUUGGGACUGACCAUACCUGGAGCAGUGAACGCUCAGGAGGCAGAGUCAGAAGUAUAGCUACAAAUGUACAUGUUCGUGUAUCUCUACAGUGCUGGGAGUGUUGAAGGCACAUGAGGAAAAACUGUCUGGUUCUAGAAAGCUCAUCAAUAGAUCAGUGCCACAAUGGUGCUUAUUUAUAGUUUGUACCAGUUCCUGAAGAAGAGUGAUGGAUGUCAGUCAAAACGUCCGGAAGUAAAUCUCCAUUUUUAUCUAGUUGUACAGAUUGAAUUGUAUUUGAAGAACAGUGCUUAAGAUGACUUGGGAAGACGUUUUCUACAUUUUGUACGUUUUCUUAAACUAUUUUUGUUUUGUUUCAUACGAUAUAUGAUGGACAGUUCAAACAUGUGCAAUUUGUGAUUAAGGCUAUUUUUGUGGGAUGAAUUCUAGAAUAAUCCAGCGAUGAAUACAUGUACAUUAUGCCACUCUUGCGUGUUGUGCUCUAUGUAGUUCACCUUUAUCUGCAGGGUAACCUGUAUCUGUUUUUAAAAACAGUAUUUAGAGAUAUCAAGUUGACAGACGGUAGUUUCAAACUGCAGUUUUUUUUAAAUACUGUAAUUUGAAACCACUGUCCGUCGACAUGAUGUCUCUAAAUAUCUUAUUUUUUAAUACAACAGAUAUAGGUUACCCCACGGAUAAAGGUGAGCUAUCUUUCCUAGUUCAAGUUCCUUGUACAUUUGUGUCCAUGACUAUGUACCUAAUGAAGGUUACCUACAAGUUGUCACUCUUGAAAAAAGCUUCUCAAAAGAAUCCCAUUUUUAUAGUAACGACCCCCCUCCCCCCAUCUUCUCAAUACUCCUACUAGCAUUGUGGUAUAGUUUUUCUGGUGUCAGUUUAUUUGGUAGAGUAGUUCUUAAUAAUGCAAACUCAACAUUUCUUGUUGUCAAAGUCACUGUACAAAUGCAGAAAAAAACUGAUAUAUUUUAAAUUUUGUAAUAUUUGGUAUAUGAUGUCCCGUGAGUUUCCUAACUCUACACUCAACAAAGGGUUUGGAAACCCUGUAGAAUGGUCAAUCAUUAUCUGUUAUUACUUAAUCAUUUGUUUAAAAAAAUUAUAACAUACAUCAUGUAUUUGUCAUAGUCCUACAUUGUACACUCUAAGGGUGAACACCAGAGCUGACAUUGUGAGUUUGUCACAAUACUCUGGCUGUCUUUUAAAGUGUUUUAAGAGGUUCUUGUCGGGAUUUCUAUUUUGUCCCGUUCCACCAUCCACCAUGAAGAAAACAGGACUAGAUAGAAAGCCAGGCAAAAACCUCUAAAAACUUAAAAAAGCCGCAGCCAAACCUCUGCUUGGAGAGUAUGUCACAAAAAAACAAGUGCGGAAAUUCCCACAUGUAAUUUCACAACGUACUUACAAGCAGGCCAGGUGCUCAAGCCAUGAUUUUAUCAAGAUAAAUGGAAUACGAUUGUUAAAGGCGAUCAAUUACAGUGUACCAGACACAAAGUAUCCAACCUUUUUCUGUUACGUCUAGAUUUGCACAAGGUCCUAGGGCAGUGCGUAACAUGCUUGAUAACAGUCAGUAUUUCAGGAAAUGAUAUUUUUGUAAUGACUUCAGGACUCUCUCUAUGGUCUGAUAUUGUAUCAUGAUCUUUCUGCACUUGGACAAAGUCAGUCCCUCACUCUUUUGAAGUUUAAUACGCAGGUGAAAUUAUCAAAUCUUAGACUAGUUUUCUAAUAUAGGCUGAAGAAACAUUUGAACUUGAUCUUGGAUCCAAGAUUUUAUCAAACAAUUGUGUUUGCAAUUUUUCUAAAUCUAACUAAUGUGUAUAUAUGGUGUAAAUAUAUAUUUAUAUAUCUAUUUUUAUGAUGUAAAUAUGCUGGAAAUGAUGGCAAAUUACUUGUACAUAUUUCAAUACUUUGAGAAAAAAAUGUGGACCAAAUAAAACUGACAAUUGCUCAUCUUUUGAA